rnacentral:rRNA from 1 species
GCAAGGUUAAAACUCAAAUGAAUUGACGGGGGCCCGCACAAGCGGUGGAGCAUGUGGUUUAAUUCGAUGCAACGCGAAGAACCUUACCUGGUCUUGACAUCCACGGAAGUUUUCAGAGAUGAGAAUGUGCCUUCGGGAACCGUGAGACAGGUGCUGCAUGGCUGUCGUCAGCUCGUGUUGUGAAAUGUUGGGUUAAGUCCCGCAACGAGCGCAACCCUUAUCCUUUGUUGCCAGCGGUCCGGCCGGGAACUCAAAGGAGACUGCCAGUGAUAAACUGGAGGAAGGUGGGGAUGACGUCAAGUCAUCAUGGCCCUUACGACCAGGGCUACACACGUGCUACAAUGGCGCAUACAAAGAGAAGCGACCUCGCGAGAGCAAGCGGACCUCAUAAAGUGCGUCGUAGUCCGGAUUGGAGUCUGCAACUCGACUCCAUGAAGUCGGAAUCGCUAGUAAUCGUGGAUCAGAAUGCCACGGUGAAUACGUUCCCGGGCCUUGUACACACCGCCCGUCACACCAUGGGAGUGGGUUGCAAAAGAAGUAGGUAGCUUAACCUUCGGGAGGGCGCUUACCACUUUGUGAUUCAUGACUGGGGUGAAGUCGUAACAAGGUAACCGUAGGGGAACCUGCGGUUGGAUCACCUCCUUA